rnacentral:rRNA from 1 species
CUUCUUUGCUGGCGACCGGCGCACGGUGAGUAACACGUAUCCAACCUGCCCUUUACUCGGGGAUAGCCUUUCGAAAGAAAGAUUAAUACCCGAUAGCAUAAUGAUUCCGCAUGGUUUCAUUAUUAAAGGAUUCCGGUAAAGGAUGGGGAUGCGUUCCAUUAGGUUGUUGGUGGGGUAACGGCCCACCAAGCCUUCGAUGGAUAGGGGUUCUGAGAGGAAGGUCCCCCACAUUGGAACUGAGACACGGUCCAA